GUGCCCCUGUAGCACAUUGGAUAGUGCGUUGGAUUUCUAAUCCAAAGAUUGUGGUUUCGAGUCCCAACAGGUAUA